rnacentral:rRNA from 1 species
UACGGGGGAGGCAAGCGUUGUUCGGAAUUACUGGGCGUAAAGGGCUCGUAGGCGGCCAACUAAGUCCGACGUGAAAUCCCUCGGCUUAACCGGGGAACUGCGUCUGAUACUGGAUGGCUUGAAUCCGGGAGAGGGAUGCGGAAUUCCCGGUGUAGCAGUGAAAUGCGUAGAGAUCGGGAGGAACAUCUGUGGCGAAGGCGACUGCCUGGACCAGCACUGACACUGAGGCACGAAAGCGUGGGGAGCAAACAGG